GGGUCAGUAGGUUGGUCGUGCCACCGGUGCGUACCGGUCUCACUGAUUCCUCCUUCCUGAAGAACCGUAAUGCCAUUAAUUUGGUGUUGCGGGGAAACAGGACUGUUACUUUGAAAAAAUUAGAGUGUUUAAAGCAAGCUAACGCUUGAAUACAUUAGCAUGGAAUAAUGAAAUAGGACGAUCGAUCCUAUUUUGUUGGUUUCUAGGAUUGACGUA
rnacentral:rRNA from 1 species